CCUGGAUUAAGGAGGACUAGGAAAAGCUUCUUGCAAAAGAUGCUGCAAAUGGACAGAAUUGAACAGAAGGAAGAGAACAGAGAAUGAAGGAGAAUUUAUGCAUCCACCAUUCUUAUUCCAGACUUUAUAUGCUUCCAACAUCUUUUACCCAAAUGACAACUCAUGAACAAAGGUGAAGAGAAGUACAGCUUCAACACUGUACAAUGGCUCUAAUCAUCAUAACCCAUCAAAAGUUCCAGACACCAUGAAAUCACGAAGACUCUAUGUAAGGACAAAAGGACAUCAAACAAUCAGAAGAACUCUGUAAAUACUCCCCAAAGCCUUCACACACAGCUUUCCUAAGUCUCUUUUCUAAAACAUCUGUUGCCGGUGGAUUCUAGGAUGACUGUGUAUUGUCACAAUGCAGGGAGCGCUAUAGUCACAUUGAAGAGAUGGAGAAACCUUAAGGUCAACGACUUUGGUCGAGGAUGGUCUCAGGGGAUGAGAAUUCCAAUGUGGGUCGUCACGGCUCUGUGAAUGCUGAUAAGUAUAUGUGGG